rnacentral:rRNA from 1 species
GAUGAACGCUGGCGGCGUGCCUAAUACAUGCAAGUCGAGCGAACGGACGAGAAGCUUGCUUUUCUGAUGUUAGCGGCGGACGGGUGAGUAACACGUGGAUAACCUACCUAUAAGACUGGGAUAACUUCGUGAAACCGGAGCUAAUACCGGAUAAUAUUUUGAACCGCAUGGUUCAAAAGUGAAAGACGGUCUUGCUGUCACUUAUAGAUGGAUCCGCGCUGCAUUAGCUAGUUGGUAAGGUAACGGCUUACCAAGGCAACGAUGCAUAGCCGACCUGAGAGGGUGAUCGGCCACACUGGAACUGAGACACGGUCCAGACUCCUACGGGAGGCAGAAGUAGGGAAUCUUCCGCAAUGGGCGAAAGCCUGACGGAGCAACGCCGCGUGAGUGAUGAAGGUCUUCGGAUCGUAAAACUCUGUUAUUAGGGCAGAACAUAUGUGUAAGUAACUGUGCACAUCUUGACGGUACCUAAUCAGAAAGCCACGGCUAACUACGUG